rnacentral:rRNA from 1 species
AUUGAACGCUGGCGGCAGGCCUAACACAUGCAAGUCGAACGAGUGGCGGACGGGUGAGUCAUGUCUGGAAAACGGCCUGAUGGCUGGGGAUAACUACUGGAAACGGUAGCUAAUACCGCAUACCAGCGGAUGUGCCCAGAUGUGAUUAGCUAGUAGGUGGGGUAACGGCUGACCUAGGCGACGAUCCCUAGCUGGUCUGAGAGGAUGACCAGGCACACUGGAACUGAGACAAGGUCCAGACUCCUACGUGAGGCAGCAGUGGGGAAUAUUGCACAAUGGGCGCAAGCCUGAUGCAGCCGUGCCGCGUGUAUGAAGAAGGCCUUCGGGUUGUAAAGUACUUUCAGCGGUGAGGCGUUACCCGCAGAAGAAGCCCCGGCUAACUACGUGCCAGCAGCCGCGGUAAUUC